AUGAAAAAUAAUUAGCUGGAUGUGGUGGUGUGCGCCUGUAGUCCUAGCUGCCUUGUAGUCCUAGCUACUUGGGAGGCUGAGGUGGGAGGAUCACUUGAGUCCAGAAGUUUGAGGCUGCAGUGAGCUGUGAUCUUACUGCACUCUAGCCUGGGUGACAGAGCAAGACCCUGUCUCUAAAAAACAAAACAAAACAACAACAAACCAAAAUAAAAACAAUUCCUGAGGCAUGUCAGUUAUCUGCAGAGUAUUAGUCCUAGGGAGACUCCUAUCCUAUGGUUGUUGCCCCCUAUUCUCUUUGGGAUUUUUUUUUUUAAUUUUAAGGAAAAGGAAAAAGAAACAAAGAUGUUUAAUCAUGAGAGUACAAUAAGUGAGACAAUGGGCUAUAAUAAAAUUGGCCACUGUUAAGGGCAAUGGGUUUACAUUUGAACAUUUUUGGUAGGUUGCUGACCAGCAAUCAGCCAUGUUUGGAGAGUGCUGCUUCCAGACAGGUGAUGUGAAAUUAACCAUGGGAACUGGGACAUUUUUGGAUAUUAACACUGGAAAUAGCCUUCAACAGACUACUGGAGGCUUUUAUCCAUUAAUUGGGUGGAAGAUUGGGCAAGAAGUCGUAUGCUUAGCUGAAAGCAAUGCAGGAGACACUGGUACUGCCAUAAAAUGGGCUCAGCAGUUA
rnacentral:sRNA from 1 species